rnacentral:snRNA from 14 species
GUGCCCGCUUCGGCAGCGCUUAGACUAAUAUUGGAACGAUACAGAGAAGAUUGCAUGAUCCCUGCGCAAGGGUGACACGCAAAUUCGUGAGGCGUUCCAUAUUGAA